rnacentral:rRNA from 1 species
GACGAACCGUGCGAACGUUGUUCGGAAUCACUGGGCUUAAAGGGCGCGUAGGCGGGCCCCCAAGCCCGCGGUGAAAUCCCCCGGCUCAACCGGGGAACGGCCGCGGGGACUGGGGGGCCUCGAGUGGGGUAGGGGCGCGCGGAACGCCGGGUGGAGCGGUGAAAUGCGUUGAUAUCCGGCGGAACUCCGGUGGCGAAAGCGGCGCGCUGGGCCCCCCCUGACGCUGAGGCGCGAAAGCCAGGGAGCAAACGGG